rnacentral:rRNA from 1 species
AUGCAGUCGAACGGUAACAGGAAACAAGCUUGCUUCUUUGCUGACGAGUGGCGGACGGGUGAGUAAUGUCUGGGAAACUGCCUGAUGGAGGGGGAUAACUACUGGAAACGGUAGCUAAUACCGCAUAACGUCGCAAGACCAAAGAGGGGGACCUUCGGGCCUCUUGCCAUCGGAUGUGCCCAGAUGGGAUUAGCUAGUAGGUGGGGUAACGGCUCACCUAGGCGACGAUCCCUAGCUGGUCUGAGAGGAUGACCAGCCACACUGGAACUGAGACACGGUCCAGACUCCUACGGGAGGCAGCAGUGGGGAAUAUUGCACAAUGGGCGCAAGCCUGAUGCAGCCAUGCCGCGUGUAUGAAGAAGGCCUUCGGGUUGUAAAGUACUUUCAGCGGGGAGGAAGGGAGUAAAGUUAAUACCUUUGCUCAUUGACGUUACCCGCAGAAGAAGCACCGGCUAACUCCGUGCCAGCAGCCGCGGUAAUACGGAGGGUGCAAGCGUUAAUCGGAAUUACUGGGCGUAAAGCGCACGCAGGCGGUUUGUUAAGUCAGAUGUGAAAUCCCCGGGCUCAACCUGGGAACUGCAUCUGAUACUGGCAAGCUUGAGUCUCGUAGAGGGGGGUAGAAUUCCAGGUGUAGCGGUGAAAUGCGUAGAGAUCUGGAGGAAUACCGGUGGCGAAGGCGGCCCCCUGGACGAAGACUGACGCUCAGGUGCGAAAGCGUG